GAACGCACAUUGCGCCCCUUGGUAUUCCGAGGGGCAUACCUAUUCGAGCGUCAUUAUCACCCCUCAAGCCUAGCUUGGUGUUGAGGCCUGCUGUUAAGGCAGCCUCUAAAAUCAGUGGCAGUGCUGUCAGGCUCUAAGCGUAGUAAAUUCAUCGCUAUAGGGUCCUGGUGGAUACUCGCCAAAACCCCCCCAUUUUUUAAUGAUCGACCUCGGAUUAGGUAGGGAUACCCGCUGAACUUAAG
rnacentral:misc_RNA from 1 species